rnacentral:rRNA from 1 species
UACGGAGGGAGCGAGCGUUGUCCGAAGUUACUGGGCGUAAAGCGCGCGUAGGCGGGAAAUUAAGUGAGAUGUGAAAGGCUGGGGCUCAACCCCAUGCAGUGCUCCUCAUACUGGUUUUCUUGAGGGUGGUAGAGAGAAGUGGAAUGGCUGGUGUAGCGGUGAAAUGCGUAGAUAUCAGUCGGAACACCAGUGGCGAAGGCGGCUUCUUGGGCCAUUACUGACGCUGAGGCGCGAAAGCCAGGGGAGCGAACGGG